rnacentral:rRNA from 1 species
GAUCCUUAUAAUAUGGGUAAUAGACGUGCUAUAAUAAAAUGAUAAUAAAAUUAUAUAAAAUAUAUUUAAUUAUAUUUAAUUAAUAAUAUAAAACAUUUUAAUUUUUAAUAUAUUUUUUUAUUAUAUAUUAAUAUGAAUUAUAAUCUGAAAUUCGAUUAUAUGAAAAAAGAAUUGCUAGUAAUACGUAAAUUAGUAUGUUACGGUGAAUAUUCUAACUGUUUCGCACUAAUCACUCAUCACGCGUUGAAACAUAUUAUUAUCUUAUUAUUUAUAUAAUAUUUUUUAAUAAAUAUUAAUAAUUAUUAAUUUAUAUUUAUUUAUAUCAGAAAUAAUAUGAAUUAAUGCGAAGUUGAAUACAGUUACCGUAGGGGAACCUGCGGUGGGCUUAUAAAUAUCUUAAAUAUUCUUACAUA